UUCUUAUUUCCAGACAAAAACCUAAAAAAUAUACAAAAUAAUGUAAUAAAGAUAAAGGCUAUAAAAUAAAAGAAGACAGAAAUCACAUAUUUAGUGUCCCAUUUCAUUUAAAGAAACAAACAGCGUUCUGGCUUUUCAUAUGUAAAUUUACAUGAAACCUAUCACAAGUGAAAGUAAAUGGGAACGAAAGCAUUUUCAUCACUGCUGUUCUUGCCCUAUUCAGCUAUAUUCAAGUACAGAAUCAUAUAUUAUUUUAUCAUUAUAUCCAGCACCAGUAUGUUGUCAAAAUUAUAGUAUUGUUUCAAAACCAAAAUUCUUAUAACAUAGGCUACCCUCCUACAUCAUGAGAGGCGUUUCUAAUCGAAACCAAAGUUGGAAACCCUGCAUUCGUGUCUCGCAGCUCAGAUGGGCGCCCACUUAGGAGAUGUCACUUCACAUCCGGACCCCGAGACCAACUCUGACAACGUCUGCCGUUGUUAGUAGAGGGCUCAGUUAUCUAAAAGAAGUGUUUCGUCUUCAGGCUCUUCGAGGUGUUAUCAUCUUCAGGAUACAGACUGACAAGACAUGCUCAUUUAAGUCCUAAGUGAAUUCUUGAAAUUCCAGUUCCAGCACAAACGUGUGAUGACCCUCUGAGUGAUCCAAGAUAAAUUUCAAGAAGGAAACAGCCCUGCAAUAAUAGUUUCCCUUCAUGCAGUAGGAGAGGAACUACAAAAAUCCUUUAUGUACAGAUGCACUAAACAAUAGUUUUUAUAUUAGUAAUUAAUCAAAUUAUUCUGUAUAAAGCAAAAGUGGUAGCCUGACAAUCAGACUGAUUUGCCAUUGUGUUUCUCUUCACUCAGUCAGCCUGACAUUGAUUUUCACAUUAGAGGGGGUUGUUUUACCCUAGGUAACUAGUUAGCUAUGUAGGAAGAUGACGUCCCCCGUUCUUUAUUCUGCCUACAAACCUCUAAUUAGCCGACUGGAAAUGUGGGCAAUUAUUUAGAAGUCUGGAACCAGGCUGUGAACGCGUGUGACUACUUUAGCAGUGACAGUGAUUAACCUUUUCCAAGAUCACAAACAGUACAAGUGAAGAAGAGUAGAGUUUAGAUUGGCUGUCAGGAGAAAAAUGUUUUCAUGCUUUCUGAUCAGCUGAGGAAGGAACAGGAGGAAAGAAAAACACUUGAGGGAGGAAGAAAAGAAUAAAGGAAAGACAAAUCGACCAAGGGGAGAAAGUGGACAAGAAAGCGGGUCCAUGAAGCCAAAGGCCUACUAUAACCACUUCAGAAUGUUUUUGGUAAUUUUAGUACACCUAUAUGAGCUAAUGUCAACAAAAUUCAGAAGGAGAGCGACAGUGAAUUUUGAUGUGAUCAUACAGUCACCCCAAAUAGGUGACUGUUUCCCUCUAGUUCAGAUAAAUGUGUAAAAGUGGCGCACCCCAAUGGUUGGACAACUGCAGUGUCCAUGUGUUCGAUUUCCAGCCAAGAACCUUUGCUACAUGUCAUGGGCCCUCUGUCUGUCACCUUGUUUCCUGUCUCUCUCUACUGCCCACUGGCAAAUAAAGGCAAACAAUCUGAAAAACAAAUGUUCAGGUGGAGUAAAAAGUGCAAAAUAUCCCUCUGAAAUGUAAUUGA